CCUACGGGAGGCAGCAGUGGGGAAUAUUGGACAAUGGGCGCAAGCCUGAUCCAGCCAUGCCGCGUGUGUGAAGAAGGCUUUCGGGUUGUAAAGCACUUUCAGUGGGGAAGAAGGCCUGUCGGCUAAUACCCGGCAGGGACGACAUCACCCACAGAAGAAGCACCGGCUAACUCCGUGCCAGCAGCCGCGGUAAUACGGAGGGUGCGAGCGUUAAUCGGAAUUACUGGGCGUAAAGCGCGCGUAGGUGGCUUGAUAAGCCGGUUGUGAAAGCCCCGGGCUCAACCUGGGAACGGCAUCCGGAACUGUCAGGCUAGAGUGCAGGAGAGGAAGGUAGAAUUCCCGGUGUAGCGGUGAAAUGCGUAGAGAUCGGGAGGAAUACCAGUGGCGAAGGCGGCCUUCUGGACUGACACUGACACUGAGGUGCGAAAGCGUGGGUAGCA
rnacentral:rRNA from 1 species